GUGGGGAAUAUUGGACAAUGGGCGCAAGCCUGAUCCAGCCAUGCCGCGUGAGUGAUGAAGGCCCUAGGGUUGUAAAGCUCUUUCAGUGGGGACGAUAAUGACGGUACCCACAGAAGAAGCCCCGGCUAACUUCGUGCCAGCAGCCGCGGUAAUACGAAGGGGGCUAGCGUUGUUCGGAUUUACUGGGCGUAAAGCGCACGUAGGCGGAUCGUUAAGUCGAGGGUAAAAUCCUGGAGCUCAACUCCAGAACUGCCUUCGAUACUGGCGAUCUUGAGUCCGGAAGAGGUGAGUGGAACUCAUAGUGUAGAGGUGGAAUUCGUAGAUAUUAGGAAGAACACCAGUGGCGAAGGCGGCUCACUGGUCCGGUACUGACGCUGAGGUGCGAAAGCGUGGGGAGCAAACAGGAUUAGAAACCCUAGUAGUCC
rnacentral:rRNA from 1 species